CAGCAGUAGCCGCGGUAAUACGAAGGGUGCAAGCGUUAAUCGGAAUUACUGGGCGUAAAGCGUGCGUAGGCGGUUUGUUAAGUCUGUUGUGAAAUCCCCGGGCUCAACCUGGGAAUGGCAAUGGAUACUGGCAAGCUAGAGUGUGUCAGAGGAUGGUGGAAUUCCCGGUGUAGCGGUGAAAUGCGUAGAGAUCGGGAGGAACAUCAGUGGCGAAGGCAGCCAUCUGGGACAACACUGACGCUGAGGCACGAAAGCGUGGGGAGCAAACAGGAUUAGAUACCCGUGUAGUCCCUGUCUCUUAUAC
rnacentral:rRNA from 1 species